CGGCAGCUAGCUGAGAACUGCUUGGCUCCUCUGGGUUUGGUAUCUUGCCCUUUGCACUUCCCCGCCCAAUCAAUCCCCUGUUUGCUUGAGAUGCUGUGGUAUGCUCUUUACAUGCUCUGCCGGGCUGUGCUGCAGGGACCCACUGAGGACAGGAAGCAAGAAGCAACUCCAGGAAGGAAGGGUUUAUUUCGGUUCACAGUUCAAGGGGAUCAGAGCGGGAAGGCGUGGCCGCAGGACUGAGCGUGACCGGAUGUUGCAAGCACAGAGAACAGGCAGGGAACCGGGCUGGGCUAAGAAACCCCAGGGCUCACCUUGAGUAUUUGAACACAUCAGCCAUCGGGAGACUGUUCAGUUCAAUCCACGGUGUCAGGCCAGUGGCAGCUCGAUCUCUCCGUGUCUGUGAUGAAAGUGUUUGGUGUCUUCAGCAAUAAAGCCUUACCAUCACA